AGAUUGAACGCUGGCGGCAGGCCUAACACAUGCAAGUCGAGCGGUAGAGAGGUGCUUGCACCUCUUGAGAGCGGCGGACGGGUGAGUAAUGCCUAGGAAUCUGCCUAGUGGUGGGGGAUAACGUUCGGAAACGGACGCUAAUACCGCAUACGUCCUACGGGAGAAGGCGGGGGACCUUCGGGCCUCGCGCCAUUAGAUGAGCCUAGGUCGGAUUAGCUAGUUGGUGAGGUAAUGGCUCACCAAGGCGACGAUCCGUAACUGGUCUGAGAGGAUGAUCAGUCACACUGGAACUGAGACACGGUCCAGACUCCUACGGGAGGCAGCAGUGGGAAUAUUGGACAAUGGGCGAAAGCCUGAUCCAGCCAUGCCGCGUGUGUGAAGAAGGUCUUCGGAUUAGUAAAGCUAACGUUUUAAGGUUGGGAAGGUAAAGGGUUUGUAAACGUUUAAGUACGUUGACUAAACUUUGACGUUACCGACAGAAUAAGCAACCGGCUAACUUCGUGCCAGCAGCCGA
rnacentral:rRNA from 1 species